AGUGAACGCUGGCGGUAAGCCUAACACAUGCAAGUCGAACGGCAGCACAGGAGAGCUUGCUCUCUGGGUGGCGAGUGGCGGACGGGUGAGGAAUACAUCGGAAUCUACUCUGUCGUGGGGGAUAACGUAGGGAAACUUACGCUAAUACCGCACACGACCUACGGGUGAAAGCAGGGGACCUUCGGGCCUUGCGCGAUUGAAUGAGCCGAUGUCGGAUUAGCUAGUUGGCGGGGUAAAGGCCCACCAAGGCGACGAUCCGUAGCUGGUCUGAGAGGAUGAUCAGCCACACUGGAACUGAGACACGGUCCAGACUCCUACGGGAGGCAGCAGUGGGGAAUAUUGGACAAUGGGCGCAAGCCUGAUCCAGCCAUACCGCGUAGGUGAAGAAGGCCUUCGGGUUGUAAAGCCCUUUUGUUGGGAAAGAAAUCCAGCUGGCUAAUACCCGGUUGGGAUGACGGUACCCAAAGAAUAAGCACCGGCUAACUUCGCGCCAGCAGCCGCCGUAA
rnacentral:rRNA from 1 species